GGGAACCAGGUGCCCGCCUGGUUGAUAUGGUUGUGGACCCACUGGACCUUUUGGCUAUUGAUUCUCCUUACAGAUUAAAUGAUAUAUAUUACAUAAACAAACAGAUAAUCCCAGCAUUGCAGCGGGUAUUUGGACUUCUUGGUGCUGACUUAAACCAGUGGUUUUCAGAGAUGCCCCGCCCAGGAAGGGAUGCUUUUGCUAAGCGCCCGCCAUAUGCUACAAAUCCUCAACGGACCAGAAUUGAUUUUUACUAUCUUUCUAAGCAUUGUGUGCUAUGCGGAGAGUUGGUCCACACAUCAACACAUAUGUGCAACAAAUGUUCACAGAAGGAAACUGCUGCUGCAACGGCUGUAAUUGGAAGGACUUCAAAAUUGGAGAGGGAGAUGCAACACCUUGCUGCUAUAUGUCGACAUUGUGGCGGUGGAGACUGGCUUCUGGAUAGUGGUGUCAAGUGCACUUCCCUUGCUUGCUCAGUGUUCUACGAGAGGCGUAAAGUUCAGAAAGAACUACAGGGUCUGUCUGCUGUUGCAUCAGAUAAAGGUUUCUACACAAAAUGUAUGGUUGAAUGGUUCUGAACGUGUGCUCCCUUUACAUCUCGUAUUUGAUUAUGCGAUCUCCAAGUUAGAAUUCUCAAGUUUAAUGAGGACAAACAUUGCUGAUCUAACCUUAUUGUAUAGUUUGUCCAGCUUCUGACUUGCUUUACCCCCC
rnacentral:misc_RNA from 1 species